rnacentral:rRNA from 1 species
GACGAACGCUGGCGGCGUGCUUAACACAUGCAAGUCGAACGGUAAGGCUCCAGCUUGCUGGGGUACACGAGUGGCGAACGGGUGAGUAACACGUGGGUGACCUGCCCUGCACUUCGGGAUAAGCCUGGGAAACUGGGUCUAAUACCGGAUAGGACCGCACCGUGAGGGUGUGGUGGAAAGUUUUUUCGGUGUGGGAUGGGCCCGCGGCCUAUCAGCUUGUUGGUGGGGUAAUGGCCUACCAAGGCGGCGACGGGUAGCCGGCCUGAGAGGGUGGACGGCCACAUUGGGACUGAGACACGGCCCAGACUCCUACGGGAGGCAGCAGUGGGGAAUAUUGCACAAUGGGCGGAAGCCUGAUGCAGCGACGCCGCGUGGGGGAUGACGGCCUUCGGGUUGUAAACUCCUUUCACCAUCGACGAAGGGUUUCUGACGGUAGAUGGAGAAGAAGCACCGGCUAACUACGUGCCAGCAGCCGCGGUAAUACGUAGGGUGCGAGCGUUGUCCGGAAUUACUGGGCGUAAAGAGCUCGUAGGUGGUUUGUCGCGUCGUCUGUGAAGUUCCGGGGCUUAACUCCGGGCGUGCAGGCGAUACGGGCAUAACUUGAGUACUGUAGGGGAGACUGGAAUUCCUGGUGUAGCGGUGAAAUGCGCAGAUAUCAGGAGGAACACCGGUGGCGAAGGCGGGUCUCUGGGCAGUAACUGACGCUGAGGAGCGAAAGCAUGGGGAGCGAACAGGAUUAGAUACCCUGGUAGUCCAUGCCGUAAACGGUGGGCGCUAGGUGUGGGUUUCCUUCCACGGGAUCCGUGCCGUAGCUAACGCAUUAAGCGCCCCGCCUGGGGAGUACGGCCGCAAGGCUAAAACUCAAAGGAAUUGACGGGGGCCCGCACAAGCGGCGGAGCAUGUGGAUUAAUUCGAUGCAACGCGAAGAACCUUACCUGGGCUUGACAUAUACAGGAUCGCGCCAGAGAUGGUGUUUCCCUUGUGGCUUGUAUACAGGUGGUGCAUGGUUGUCGUCAGCUCGUGUCGUGAGAUGUUGGGUUAAGUCCCGCAACGAGCGCAACCCUUGUCUUAUGUUGCCAGCACGUUGUGGUGGGGACUCGUAAGAAACUGCCGGGGUUAACUCGGAGGAAGGUGGGGAUGACGUCAAAUCAUCAUGCCCCUUAUGUCCAGGGCUUCACACAUGCUACAAUGGUCGGUACAGUGGGUUGCCAGUCCGUGAGGGCGAGCUAAUCCCGCAAAGCCGGUCUCAGUUCGGAUCGGGGUCUGCAACUCGACCCCGUGAAGUCGGAGUCGCUAGUAAUCGCAGAUCAGCAACGCUGCGGUGAAUACGUUCCCGGGCCU